rnacentral:rRNA from 1 species
UCGGGGGAUCGACCCCCUCGGUGUCGUAGCCAACGCGUUAAGUGUUCCGCCUGGGGAGUACGCACGCAAGUGUGAAACUCAAAGGAAUUGACGGGGGCCCGCACAAGCGGUGGAGUAUGUGGUUUAAUUCGAUGCAACGCGAAGAACCUUACCAGGGUUUGACAUCCUGCGAAUUUCUGGGAAACCGGAAAGUGCCUUCGGGAACGCAGUGACAGGUGGUGCAUGGCUGUCGUCAGCUCGUGUCGUGAGAUGUUGGGUUAAGUCCCGCAACGAGCGCAACCCACGUCUUUAGUUGCCAGCAUUCAGUUGGGCACUCUAGAGAGACCGCCGGUGAUAAACCGGAGGAAGGUGUGGAUGACGUCAAGUCAUCAUGCCCCUUACAUCCUGGGCUACACACGUACUACAAUGCUACGGACAAAGGGCAGCAAGUUCGCGAGGACAAGCAAAUCCCAUAAACCGUGGCUCAGUUCAGAUCGUAGGCUGCAACUCGCCUACGUGAAGGAGGAAUCGCUAGUAAUCGCAGGUCAGCAUACUGCGGUGAAUACGUUCCCGGGCCUUGUACACACCGCCCGUCACACCAUGGAAGUUGGCCACGCCCGAAGCCGUUACUCCAACCCUUGUGAGGAGGACGUCGAAGGGUGGGGCUGAUGACUGGGGUGAAGUCGUAACAAGGUAGCCGUACCGGAAGGUGCGGCUGGAUCACCUCCUAA